rnacentral:rRNA from 1 species
GACGAACGCUGGCGGCGUGCUUAACACAUGCAAGUCGAACGGAAAGGCCCUGCUUUUGUGGGUUGCUCUAUUGGCGAACGUGUGAGUAACACGUGAGUAACCUGCCCUUGACUUUGUGAUAACUUCAGGAAACUUGGGCUAAUACCGGAUAGGAGCUCCUGCUGCACGGUGGGGGUUGGAAAGUUUCGGCGGUUGGGGAUGGACUCGCGGCUUAUCAGCUUGUUGGUGGGGUAGUUGCUUACCAAGUCUUUGACGGGUAGCCGGCCUGAGAGGGUGACCGGCCACAUUGGGACUGAGAUACGGCCCAGACUCCUACGGGAGGCAGCAGUGGGGAAUAUUGCACAAUGGGCGGAAGCCUGAUGCAGCAACGCCGCGUGCGGGAUGACGGCCUUCGGGUUGUAAACCGCUUUCGCCUGUGACGAAGCGUGAGUGACGGUAAUGGGUAAAGAAGCACCGGCUAACUACGUG